CCAAUGGGAGACACUGGUGGGAGCUUGGAAGGAGGGUAGAAGGGAGAAGGAAGCUCUUUUAUUUCUCCUUCUGUUGAAGUCUCUGGCAGUGGCAGCAUAGCAACGACAGUAGGUGACGAGUGAGUUUCUGUUCAGCACACGUUUUGCCAUGUGACUAAGCCAUCCUUUUUAUCCGGUGCUACAGCCUAUUUCUUUGCUCCCCAGAAUUUCAGAUGGUCUUGUGAAUUACUCAGGCUUACAAAAUGAGCCUGAAGAGACAUGUGAGUUCCAGAGGCCAGACUCAAGAGGUCUGGUGAAUUCUGCCUUCAGCCAUUUGGAACAUUGUCCUUUAAAGUCCCCGAAGUGAGCAGGUCUGGCCUGCAUUGGAGGAUGAGAAGCCAGAAGCAGAAGAAAGAAGAUGCCCCAGCCAGCAGCCAGUACCACAUUCCAGAGAUGUCUAGGAGGGCACCGCUCACAGGAGGAUCCUAGGAUGACCUGCUUCACGUGAAGGUCAGAAGAUCCUGGGGUUUAUGACCUGAUUCAGGAGGAAAGGCAACGGAAAAGCUCUGGAGACAUCCUGGAGUUUGCCCUUAUGACUCAACUAAGAAGACCCCUCAGGACGGAGGGUGGGACAGCUGGGCUGAAGUUGGGAACUGAGAGAGUGAUGGAGAAACCCCUCCCCAUUCUGUGCUCUAGGACAGGGGCCAGGGCACACGUGCUGCUCUUGUUCAUUGCCUCGCUGGCCAGCAGGCUGCCCCUUGCCCUCGCUUUCAAUACACUAGCACCUGUGCAGGAAAACAGAAGAAAAGAACGCACAUUCUUCAGGCUUUUGUGAUCCCUUCUGUGUUCAUUCGCAUGAACUACAGAACUACAGCUGGGAAAAUCCCCAUGGCUAUGCAUGCAAAGGUGUGCGCACAGGCGACUCCUUCCGGGGUACUAGCUGGAACAACAAACACUAUGUUAUUUGU